UGCAAGUCGAGCGGAGAUGAGGUGCUUGCACCUUAUCUUAGCGGCGGACGGGUGAGUAAUGCUUAGGAAUCUGCCUAUUAGUGGGGGACAACAUUCCGAAAGGAAUGCUAAUACCGCAUACGCCCUACGGGGGAAAGCAGGGGAUCUUCGGACCUUGCGCUAAUAGAUGAGCCUAAGUCGGAUUAGCUAGUUGGUGGGGUAAAGGCCUACCAAGGCGACGAUCUGUAGCGGGUCUGAGAGGAUGAUCCGCCACACUGGGACUGAGACACGGCCCAGACUCCUACGGGAGGCAGCAGUGGGGAAUAUUGGACAAUGGGCGGAAGCCUGAUCCAGCCAUGCCGCGUGUGUGAAGAAGGCCUUUUGGUUGUAAAGCACUUUAAGCGAGGAGGAGGCUACUUAGAUUAAUACUCUAGGAUAGUGGACGUUACUCGCAGAAUAAGCACCGGCUAACUCUGUGCCAGCAGCCGCGGUAAUACAGAGGGUGCGAGCGUUAAUCGGAUUUACUGGGCGUAAAGCGUGCGUAGGCGGCUGAUUAAGUCGGAUGUGAAAUCCCUGAGCUUAACUUAGGAAUUGCAUUCGAUACUGGUCAGCUAGAGUAUGGGAGAGGAUGGUAGAAUUCCAGGUGUAGCGGUGAAAUGCGUAGAGAUCUGGAGGAAUACCGAUGGCGAAAGCAGCCAUCUGGCCUAAUACUGACGCUGAGGUACGAAAGCAUGGGGAGCAACAGGAUUAGAUACCCUGGU
rnacentral:rRNA from 1 species